ACCAAGGAGUCUGACAUGCGUACGAGUUAACGGGCGAGUAAACCUGUGAGGUGUAAGGAAGCUUAUUGGCAUGAUCUCCCAGAGGGGUGUAACGUCGACCGACCUCGAUCUUUUGAGAAGGGUUUGAGUGCGAGCAUACCUAUCAGGACCCGAAAGAUGGUGAACUAUGCCUGAGUGGGGUGAAGCUGAGGAAAAUCUAGUGGAAGCCCGCAGUGAUACUAACGUGCAAAUCAUUUGUCUGACUUGGGUAUAGGGACGAAAGACUAAUCGAACUAUCCAAUAGUUGGUUUCCUCCGAAGUUUCCCUCAGGAUAGCCGAAGCUCGGGCGCGAGCUCUAUCGGGUAAAGCCAAUGAUUAGUGUAGAACCCCAAAUAAUUCUAGACACCUUAGUGGCAUUAAGACAUGAAUAUUGGAUGACUAAAGUAUACUUCAGAUUUUUAGUCUCAUUUAAGACCCAUUUUCGACAUAGGAAACAUUUUAUUUGGAAAAUGAUAUCUAAAUAAACGUUGUAGAUCUUUGAGUUAGCUUUCCAACGCACUUUGAAUCACUUCAAUCAAAUAUCGGGAGAAGAAGUUAUGAUAGAAACACUGAAGGCUAUGCAGUGUCAACCGGACUACAACCGGUCGACCAUAACUGCCUAAAAUGAAAAUUCUCGUUUUUCUCUAGAAUUUAAAUAUUUAUUUUCAUCAAUUAUUUUCUCAAAGGGCCACCCACAUUUUUGGCAAUAAAAACCCCACUAAAUUGAAGCAUUUAAGCUCAAACUUAAAUGGCACCCAUGUUUUCUCUCUUAAAUGAAAUUUGACCCUUCAUUUGCUUUAAGUUAUGGGAUAUUUACCUAUAAAUAGAGACCUCAUUUCACUCAUUUUUCUCACACCAAAAGCAAGAGCUUUUACAUACUAAAGAAAGAGUUUCCAAGAGAGAAAAAGAGAGGGAGGAAAACUAUUUUUCCUAGAAGUUUAAGAAGUGUUUUCAAGCAUCAAUUCUCAACGGUUUUCAAACAUCCAAGGAGUGUAUUUCUUUCAACGUCCAAGUUUCAUCGAAGUUUUCAGUCCAAGUUUUCAAAAUUUCAAAAGCAUCAAUCAAGGUAGGUAGAGGUGCAAUGUAUUUAAUCGUGUUAGAUUCAUGUUAAUGUUUGUAUAUCAAAUGGUUCUCCGGUACGGCAUAUCCCUCUAUGUUAAUGGUUGUAUGUCAAAUGGUACUCCGGUACGGCAUACCCCUCUAUGUUGAAGAAAUGUUCGUAUGUCAAAUGGUGCCCUCGGGUACAGCAUACCACUUCAUGUCAAAUGGUGCCUCCGGGUACAGCAUGUAUGAAAAGUUAUAAAGUUAAUGUUUUGAAAUGUAUGGCUUGAUCACGAAUGCACCUAUGACACCUAUUGAGUUUUUCAACUCACGGGUUUAAUCCCAUCUCUACAGAUUGAAGGAAUUCUACCUCGGGCAUGGAUGGAGGAAAAGAUGGAGAGUGAUGCAACGAGUCCAUGAAAAUCUGGUGAAUAAGUGAUUUGGAUUUAUUUUUAUGAAAUGUUUUCCAAUGUUAUUUCUUUAAAGUUUUGAAUAAUGCAGAAUGCGAGAACAAGUUAUGUUUUCUUCAAAUAAAUUACAUUUUGUUGUUUUGAAAAAUGAUUCAGUGUUUUCCUUUAAAGUAUUUGAAGUAUUGUUAUUUAAAUUAUUAUCCGAAGAUGUAAGCUUCCGCUAAAAUAUAUACACUUGUUACUAAACCACCGAUUAAGCUAAGUAAAGUAAGUAGCAUUCUGAUCCACUAGGGGUCAAGGCGUUACAAUUAGAGGCAUGGAGGGCGCAACGCCCUUGACCUAUUCUCAACCUUUAAAUAGGUAGGAUGGCGUGGCUGCUUCGUUGAGCCACGCCGCGGAAUCAAGAGCUCCAAGUGGGCCAUUUUUGGUAAGCAGAACUGGCGAUGCAGGAUGAACUGGAGGCCGAGUUAUGGUGCCCAACUGCGUGCUAACCUAGAUUCCACAAAGGGUGUUGGUCGAUUAAGACAGUAGGACGGUGGCCAUGGAAGUCGAAAUCCGCUAAGGAGUGCGUAACAACUCACCUACCGAAUCAACUAGCCUCAAAAAUGGAUGGCGCUAAAGCGCGCGACCUAUACCCGACCAUCGGGGCAAGUGCCAAGCCCUGAUGAGUAGGAGGGCACGACGGUCGCCGUAAAACCUUGGGCGCGAGCUCAGGCCGAGCGACCCUCGGUGCGGAUCUUGGUGGUAGUAGCAAAUAUUAAAAUGGGGACUUUGAAAGCCGAAGAGGAGAAAUAUUCCGUGUGAAUGGCACUUGCACAUUAGUUUGUCAAUCCUAAGGGUCGGGGAAAGCCUGAUAGACAGUGCGUUUCGCGAGUGCACCGAAAAUGAAUCGGGUUAAAAUUCCUGAACCGGGAUGCGACAAUUGAUGGCAACGUUAGGGAGUCUGGAGACAGCGGCGGGGGCCUCAGGAAUAGUUAUCUUUUUGUUUAAUAGCCUGCAAACCCUGGAAAUAGCUUAGCUGGAGGAAGGGUCCAAUGGCUGGAAGAGCACCGCACGCCUCAUGGUGUUCGGUGGACCCCCGACGGCCUUGAAAAUCUGGAGGACCGAGUACCGUCUGCGCCCGGUCGUACUCAUAACCUCAUCAGGUCUCCAAGGUGGACAGUCUCUAGUC
rnacentral:rRNA from 1 species